UGCAUCAAAAUCAGGUCGUUCAUCAGUAUUUUGGAUCUGCAGGGAAGGAUCUCGCUGAUUUCACCUUUGCUUUUUUCUAUCUAGGUUUCGUGAUUUCUAGCUGUUCUUCACAUGCUUUUCAAUUUGUUCUUAUAGUUGUAUUGGAGAUUUCAAUUGUUGUUCAAAUAUCAAUAAAUUUCGGAAUUUCUCCCUGCCUCAGUUCGCUCAGAAAGCAAAUUCAUGUAUGAAGAAAGUUGAGGUAUGAUUUUUAAUCCUAGGAUUUUUAUCUUCACGUAAGUGUUGUCAAAUCAGUUUUUUCUUUUUGGCUUUUGAGGCUGUAGAACACAAAUAGCUUAAUGUGUGGAUUUUUCCAAAAUAACUCAAUGUGUGAUAAUUAAUCAUUGCAAUUUUCCUAAAGUCAUUCAAUCAUGUCUACACAUCUUUGUAGGAAAUUUAUACUCAGAUGCAUUGCUUCCGCUGGAUUUUGAUUCAAUUUAAACGGUUAGAUUCCUUGAAUUGCUAUAUUUGUCAUUGUGGGGUGAUUCUCUUUGUAUUGGUUGCAGGUUACUUGCAUAAUCUUCUACUUUAUCACCUUGUUUGCCUCAUUGGGUGUUCAUGCAUGCACCUGUUUCUCGUAAUUUUGAUUUGUAGCCAUUUGGAAAUAUUCCUAUAAUUCAAGGGUGGAGAAAGAUC
rnacentral:lncRNA from 1 species